GACGAACGCUGGCGGCGUGCCUAACACAUGCAAGUCGAACGGAAAGGCCAUGCUCUUGUGGGGUUCUCGAGUGCCGAACGGGUGAGUAACACGUGAGUAUCCUGCCCUUGUCUUUCGGAUAACAUCACGAAAAUGGGGCUAAUAUCGGAUAGGAGCUCCUGCUCCAUGGUGGGGGUUGGAAAGUUUCGGCGGUGGGGGAUGGACUCGCGGGUUACCAGCUUGUUGGUGGGGUUGUGGAUUACCAAGGCUUUGAAGGGUAGGCGGCCUGGGAGGGGGGCCGGCCACAUUGGGCCUGAGAGACGGCCCAGACUCCUACGGGAGGCAACAGUCGGGAAUAUUGCACAGUGAGCGGAAGCCUGAUGCAGAAACGCCGCGUGCGGAAAGACGGCCUUCGGGUUAAAAACCGCUUUCGCCUGUGACGAAGCGUGAGUGACGGUAAUGAGUAAAGAAGCACCGGCUAACUACGUG
rnacentral:rRNA from 1 species